UUGAAAGGGAAACGAUUGAAGUCAGUCGUACCGACGAGAAAUCAACUCAUCGAAUGGGUAAUUGCGGGCGUAUGAGAGCUUCACGGUCUCAUUGUUUGCGAAUGCAUUGUUUUUUGGGUGUACUUUUUCGUAUGGUAGGUCAACGUCGGUUUCGAUUACUAUAAAAUGAUCGGAGGAAUGUAGCUUCGAUUUCGGUUGAAGUGUUAUAGCCUUUGGUAGAUGUAGUGAUUGAGACCGAGGAUUGCAACGAAUACCCUUUUGGGCUAUCCGUCUGACCUCUGAAAGUUGCUUAGGUGCCGAAAGCUUGCUUACGGUUAUUUAAGUUUGCGGUCAAAAGGUUAGAACGUGAUUACAUUCGUUAAGGAUGUUGACGUA
rnacentral:rRNA from 1 species